CCUACGGGCGGCAGCAGUGGGGAAUAUUGGACAAUGGGGGCAACCCUGAUCUAGCCAUGCCGCGUGUGUGAAGAAGGCCCUCGGGUUGUAAAGCACUUUCAGUGAGGAAGAACGCCUGGUGGUUAAUACCCAUCAGGAAAGACAUCACUCACAGAAGAAGCACCGGCUAACUCCGUGCCAGCAGCCGCGGUAAUACGGAGGGUGCGAGCGUUAAUCGGAAUUACUGGGCGUAAAGCGCGCGUAGGUGGCUUGAUAAGCCGGUUGUGAAAGCCCCGGGCUCAACCUGGGAACGGCAUCCGGAACUGUCAAGCUAGAGUGCAGGAGAGGAAGGUAGAAUUCCCGGUGUAGCGGUGAAAUGCGUAGAGAUCGGGAGGAAUACCAGUGGCGAAGGCGGCCUUCUGGACUGACACUGACACUGAGGUGCGAAAGCGUGGGUAGCAAACAGGAUUAGAUACCCUGGUAGUC
rnacentral:rRNA from 1 species